rnacentral:rRNA from 1 species
UUAUACCUUUAUAAAAAAUAUUAUGCUAGAACUAGUAACAAGAACUUGAUUUUCUCCAAAAUGUAAGCAUAAGCCAAAACGGACUAUCCAUUAGCACUUAACGUAAAUGCCUUCACUAUAGCAACAAACCUCUAGAAAACCCUAUAAUCUUGCACGUUACCCUAACACCAGAACAUUUAAGGAAAGAUUAAAAGAGAAAGAAGGAACUCGGCAAAUUUUAGCCCCGCCUGUUUACCAAAAACAUCGCCUCUUGACAAAACAUAAGAGGUCCAGCCUGCCCAGUGACAAACUUUAACGGCCGCGGUACCCUAACCGUGCGAAGGUAGCAUAAUCACUUGUUCUUUAAAUAGGGACUAGUAUCAACGGCAUCACGAGGGCUAUACUGUCUCCUUUCUCCAAUCAGUGAAACUGAUCUCCCCGUGAAGAAGCGGGGAUUCAACUAUAAGACGAGAAGACCCCAUGGAGCUUUAAGCAAUGUAUUCACCCCGCACCUUUACAUCAACUAAAUAAAAAGACCUGAAUACUAGCUUUAGGUUGGGGGGACCACGGAGUAUAACAUAACCUCCAUGACAAACGGGCUACGCCCUUAUCCACGAGCUACAACUCUAAGAAUCAAUAAACUGAUGUUUUAUGACCCGAUAAUUCGAUCAACGAACCAAGUUACCCUGGGGAUAACAGCGCAAUCUACUUCAAGAGCCCAUAUCGACAAGUAGGUUUACGACCUCGAUGUUGG